UAUAUGGUGUAGGAUAUACGAUUUUGGUUUGUAUUGAAAAUAUGUAUAAUAUUCAAAUGAUCUAUUUUGAAUAUUGAUACGUAUAUUUAAGAAAAUAAUAUUUUCAUGUUUCUUAAUUCAUUUAUUGUUCAUAAUAUAUUUAUACUUAUAUUAAAUUUAAAAUUAAUAUAUAUUUUAAAUAUAUAUAUAGGCCUAUUAUUUAUAGAUCCAUUUAGGUGUAUCUGUAGGCCCAAAACCAAAAGACUUAAAUGCCAUUAAUGAAUUUUAUUAAUUCUUUGUAAAAAUAAGGGUAUUUUUGAGAAAAUUGCAAUUUUCAUUAAGGAUAUAAUUUGAGAAUGAUCCUCUUUUAAUGGUAUUGAUAUUUUUAACAAAUCAUGUUUCUAUUUUAUUCACGACAGUAAUUUAAGAUCCUAUCGAUUUGUAGGGUUGAGCCGUCGUAAGUGUUUGUGAAAGAAAAUAAAUAAAUAAUAGAAAACGUAAAGAGAAAACUAAAAAGUGAGGAAGAGAUAGUCGUAUGUUAUAGACGACAUGGAGUAAGAUAGUUCUAAUAUUUUAGUCUUCUUAUUCCAAAUUUAUGUGUCUCAUCAUGUGUGGUGUCUUUGAAUUUUUUUUUUAUUUGCUGAGAUUCCCAAAAGCUUUAUAUUCACUGAAAAAAUAUCUCAAUUAUGUUUGAUUUGUACCUUGUAUGAUAAUUCUGGGGUUGAUAUGUUCUUUUAUUUAAAUGGUGUAUCUGAUAAACUUUACUUGUUUACAAUGCAGUGACGAAGAGACGUUGAAACUAAAUAUCCACUUUGGUGGAACAAUGAAGAAAGAAGCUGAUGAUUAUAUUUAUCUUAAUGAGUCGGGCUUUAAAAAUGUUUUAUGGAAAAUGUAUGAGAUAAGUUGGAAGAAGUUUCAAGAUUUCAAUAAAGCUGAAGGCAUUGUGACAGAGUUAAGAUUGAUUUGGUACAAAGAAACAAGUGAGGAGAUGAAGAAUAUCAAUUAUGUGUUUGAGGAUGUUAAUGGUGAUAUCUCAGAGUUGUGUUCUUCUGCGAGAAUAGCAAGUGCAAUUGAUGUUUUUCUAGAAAAUGAAGAUGAGAGUGGAUAUGUAGCUGAAGGAGAAUAAGGUGAUGAAACUGAUAUAGACGAGAGAUCAGCGGACGAUGGCGAUGAAUCUGAUGAUGAUAAGCCACCAAAAGAAGAGGAUGACCCUGAGGAAUCUGAGGACGAAGCUGAUACAACUAAGAAUAAAGGUGAUGAUUUAAAAGAACUGCAGGCUCGUGGUGAUGAUUUUAAUGAGAAGCAAGAUCGUGGUGCUGAUUUAAAAGAAAUGCAGGCUCAUGGUGAUGAUUUGCAGAAUAAGGGUGUUCGUAAUUUGGUGAACGAUGGAGAUGAUGUUAUUUUAGACGCAGGAAAUGGUGGUGAUGAUAACAGAUUUCAGUCCCUGUUUGAGGAGGGUACAAGAAGAAGUCCCAGGUUGAAUGAAUUAACUCGUAAUUUAGCUGCAGAACAGGCAAAAGAUGAAAGGGACGAAGAAGAAUCUGAUCCUGAAUUUGGCUUACAAGACGUCCAAUAUCCAGAUACACCGUUAAGUUCAGAUGAAGAGUGGGAGCAAUGGAAAAAUCCUAAAAGAGAAAAAGAAAAAGAAAAAUUUCACGGAGAUUUUGACAAAGAGCCGUACAUUUGGUUGUUUCAGAAAUUCAAUAGUGGAUUAGAGUUAAGGAUCAGCUACUACGCUACUCAUUGAAUACUCAAUAUGAUGUUAAAAUGGCAAAAAUCAGAAGCAACAAGGAUAGCUUCUAUAUGUUGCAAGAGUGACUGCCCUUGGAGAAUAUAUUGUUCGGUUGAGCGGCCAUUGAACAUGUGGAUGGUGAAAGUUUGUCACAACAAGCAUAACCAUGGAAAAUCAAGUCGAGUAUCAAUGCUGAAGCAAGGUGUGAUUGCAGGUCUGUUUAGAGAAGAAAUCAGAAGAAAUGUUAAUUUACAGGCUGCAGAGAUAAAAGACAUGAUAAAGGAACGUUAUAACAUUGUUGUCAAUAUUUCAAAGUGUUACAAAGCCAGACGAAUUGCUUUGGAUACAGUCCUUGAAGCUCAAACCAUUCAGUUUGGUAAGCUAUGGUAUUAUGAGGCUGAGCUUAAACGAUCAAACAAAGAUAUCACUACAUAGAUUUGCACUGCUGCUGUCAAUGGUGUACAACAGUUUGUUUGUUUCUACAUUUGUUUUGAAGAAUUUCGGACGACUUGGAAGAAAUGUUGUAGACCAGUACUUGGCCUUGAUGGAUGCUUUUUAAAGUGGGAUUUAGAAGGUGAUUUGCUUGCAGCUGUCGGUAGAGAUGCAGAUAACAAGAUGUAUCCCAUUGCGUGGGCUGUUGUUAAACGUGAAAACAAGGAUACUUGGGGCAGGUUUGUGAAAAAACUCAAACUAGAUCUCAACUUAGGAAUCGGCAGUAAUCUUACUAUCAUUUCUGAUAAGCAAAAGGUAAUUUAUUAUGUGCUUAAUUUCCAUGGUAGUAUCAAUGCUAAUUAUAUAAUCUGAACUUUGAGUUUGAUGAUAACAUAUUUGUUUUUCAGGGUAUUAUCCAUGCCAUAGCUGCUGAGCUUCCAAAAGCAGAACAUCGUAUGUGUGCAAGACAUAUAUACGGCAAUUGGAAAAAAUAUUUUUCCCGGUCAGAAUAUAAAAAUCUGUUUUGGGGUGUGGCGUACAGCUAUCAUGAAGGGGAAUCUAUAUAUAUAUAAAAUUGUUUGCCUCACUCCUAGGUUAUCCAGCUGGAAACUCGAACUCUGAGGGGCUGACACGUGUCCGACUUCUUCCAAACGCGCCGUAUCACUUAAGUUUUAAUACUUCAUGUUGGGCUUGAGUUUCCUUAUUGGUAUUGGGCUUCGGUUUUGUUGAGAGAAAGAAAUUGAACCCUAAUUCCUGUGUCCGAAGGUCAGGAAGGGAUAAGGAAAAAAUGGCACGUGUCUUCUCUGUAACCAUCUAAAACUCUUUUCUAUUCACUUCUUUCAACCAUAUCGAUCUCUUUUCUUUCUCUGAAACCGUAGACGACCGAGCUUCCAUGCAUUCACGAUAAGCCAUCAACUCAAGCUUUAAAUCAGGUCUCAUAAACUCUUUUCUCCUCAUUUAUCAUCUGCAAAAAAAUUUAUAUACAGUGAGCCUUUGAUUUGCUUCAGAUCUGAAAAGGCUGUCGGCCCUAAUAUCAACUCCUAUACCGCUUAAGAAUCGUUUGAUUGGAAGAGGCAGUAUUUAAGGUCUGGCUAGAUCGAAGAUUGAUUUUUAGGUUUUGCUUUCAUCAUACUCUGAUUAUUUUAUGAAAUCUGAUGCAGGCUCUUCAAAAAGAAACAAACUUCAAUACUUCAAGCGAUUCGCUUUUUGAGGUUUUGUUCUUAACCUUCUUCUCCGACAAUUUUAUGAAAAUCUGAUGUUAUAACUUAUAAUGCUUUUAGGGUAGAUGAGAAAUUAACGGCAAGUCUUAGAAAGAAUUUGACUUAGAAUGUUGAACAAGUUCAAACAUUCCAAGGCAGAACAAACCACUUUGGCCUCUAAACUACCUUCUUCCCAACUUAAUUAUCCACAGCAACACAAUCGCAGGAAAAGUAAGCAUCAAAUAGAGAGAAAAUUAGACACAUUACAAUCGAAUUUUUAUAGGUGAUCGAUUACUUAUUAACUGGGUUUUAACUGGGUUUGAUUGUUGUAGGACAUGUUCUUUCACAUGUUAAUUGUUUUCUGGAUUGGUAAGGUCAAAUAUGAUUUGGUUUCCUUAAGUUUCUGAUGGCAAAUCUAAGGAGGUUGUUGAUAGCAGCUUCCGAUAGACUGAUAUUCAUAUAUAAUUAUUGACAGAAGGUACUUGCAAAAAGAGUGGUGUUGGCAAGCCGAUGAAACUUUUGGAUUAAAUUAGUGCAUUGUUGAGGUAUCAAGAUUUUUUCAAGUUAAGUUUUGCCCACAACGUUUACAAUUUCCCAAAUUUGUUAUUGUUUUUCUUUAUUGUUGUCAAGCUUAUGUUGCUAUUCAAGAAAGAAAGAGUGUUAUGGAGUGUUCUUUCUCACCUAUGAUCUUAAAGCUGUAUCUGUCUCUCAAGUCUCAAACCAUCUGCGUCAUAUGGAGGUAAAAAUUGUUUUUUUUGCAGUGAUAUCUAAAUGUGUGUGUUUGCAGGAAGAGGAGACAAUUUCAUGGAAGAACGUCAAUGUUUUGUGCUCGGGCUGUGAUAUGUUUCUACUGUCUUGGUUGCUUUAGAAGAUCGUCUGAGAAUCAUAGGAGGGCACUUGAAUCUCGCAGCUGAAGAAAAAGCUCCCAAGAGAAAUGUAGGAGUGGUCUGGUCCACUAAUAAAAAUGGACGCGGUGGGCCACUAAUGGAUCUGGUCGAUGAUUUGAAUCCAGGAACAUAAUGUAUAGUUGUAAUUUUAAGAAUUGGAAAUGCAUAUAUAAUUGUAUUUUUUUGUAUUAUAAUUGUAAGCCUUACUUCUAAAAA